UAACGCGUGAGGAACCUGCCUUCCAGAGGGGGACAACAGUUGGAAACGACUGCUAAUACCGCAUGACGCAUCGAAGUCGCAUGGCUUUGAUGCCAAAGAUUUAUCGCUGGAAGAUGGCCUCGCGUCUGAUUAGCUAGUUGGUGAGGUAACGGCCCACCAAGGCGACGAUCAGUAGCCGGACUGAGAGGUUGGCCGGCCACAUUGGGACUGAGAUACGGCCCAGACUCCUACGGGAGGCAGCAG
rnacentral:rRNA from 1 species